UUUGCAGACGACUUAAAUACG
rnacentral:snRNA from 1 species